GCCGGGUCGGUAAACAAUCGACGUUUGUUAUUUCUGCCACUGCAAGUUCACACGCGAGGUGUCGGUGCGAAAGUUUAAAAUAACAACUGUCGUUAUUUCCUAAACAAUCAUCGCAGUAAGUAUUAUAAUGUGCGUUCGGAUGUUAUAAUUGGGAAGUAACAAAUCUCGGUACAUGCUGAUGUUACAUAUUCGCGUAGAUCCGGGACAGAGCGUGGCUUUGUACUUGGUUCCUCUGUUUACAAACAUCGAGCUGUGUAUGAGAACGACGGAGGUCACUGAAGUUGGUCACGAAUCUUCAGUUAUUCGCAGAGAGUUGAAAGAUAGUCGGUCAGUGCUCGGUCGCGUACAGACAAGAUUAAACAUGUUCAAUUCAAUUAUACGAGAUUAACAUUUCGGGAAUUAGCAAAGAACCACAUUUUAGCGCGGCGGGGUGAAAUCAUUUCUAUUUAAAACAAUUGAAAAGUGCUGUGCAAAUUGGUUGUCAGUGGAUUACUAUUCCAUGUAAAAUUCAGUAUAUUUACGUACGAAAAUGUACAAACACGCAAACUGGCAUGUUCAUGAUACUUUUAGGUAUAAAAUGACGCAAAUCUGAUCUUCAACGGAUAGCUAAUAUUGUAUUGUGUAGUUUUAUAACUAGGAGUAUAAUUAACAUGACAAUUUGCGUAGCUACAUAUUUAAAAAAAUAAAUAAAUUCAUCGUUCGGGUAUUUAGUUGGUAAUAAAUUCUAGUGUCGUGAGUGCAUCUCUUGAUUGACGCCUGAACAUCACCUGCGGAAAUAUACGUUGCCGAAUGACGCGAAAUACGGGAGGUUGUCCUGCAUGACCGUAGGAUAGUUAUUACACCUAUAUACAUUUACAUGUAUCAGGCGGAUCCACGAUACCCGAGUCCAGAAUGCUUGGAAAACCAGAUCGUGUGAAGUUUAAGAACGGUGCACACGCAGCUGACUCCUGAUGCUGACGGGGUCCGGAACACGGUCCAGAUGCGAGGCCUUGGUUUUUUCAUCAUUUUUCAUCCCCCAAUAAGCCGCACGUCGCUGACAUCCACCACCCUCGUGAGAAAUUUACCAAAUCUUCACACCGACCGAACCGGACGUCCUUGCAAGCAUAUACGAUCAGUUCCGACAUCCUCGAUUGACAAGUUCCCGAUUUCCAGUGAAAAAGUUAGGAUGGACAGCAGUGAUCUUCGGUUAAAUCCUUCUUUUUUUCAGUCAGUGUUUUCGAGAUCAUCACGGAAGUUUGUCAGGCAGACCGACACUCUUUCCUGUUCACGGCGACGAAGACUAUCGCCCUAUAAAACUACGUUUCCAACUGGUUUCAACGGUCUUUCCUCUUCGUCCAACUUUUGAUUCAGACGGUCCGGCCCGAUUCAUCCUUAAUACGCGUGAAUUAAUUAUCGAGCUUGAGCGGGGCAGCUCGCGUUGCACAUAAUGAAUAACAAUGAAGAACAAUAAAGUUCGGGCCAUCAGACCGCACGAAAAUCUCUCUCGGGUCUAUCCGGCGGGCUGCCGUUUCCCUGGGACAUUAACUUUCGACUAAUCCCCGUUUAUGCAAAUCCGGGAGACUCGGAGCAUCUGUUCGCGCAGCGUCGCCGGCCCGAGGGCCCCGAUUCUUGACUCUUAAUUCUCGAUUCUCGGAUCUCGGGCUGCCCCGUAAUCGAGAACGGUUACGUCAUCGUCAUCUAAGUUCAGGAGUUCAGAACGCCGCUGCUGACGCUGCAGAUGCUCGCUAACGAGAACAAUUAGGAGUUCCACUUUACGCUCUAAAAAUAAACACGGGGGCCACUUUAAAACUUUACUGUCAUAACUACCAACCGCUCAACCAGAUGCGACCCCAUCUUAUAUUAAUAUCCCCCCCUCCCCACCCCUCUGCUUGGGACCACCUCUCCCUUAUAACAUGUUCGAGACUCUCUUUCGCAACAUCUUCGGACAGAACGAGAAACUUGGAGGAUGUGAAGAGGGUUCGAGAGUUCUUGGAACCACUUUGGUCAUCAGGUGCAUUUUCCUGGGAAAGCAAUACGGCGCAACUUCCUGCCGCACAUAUGUUCAUCGCAUCCCUGAAUUUGGAGGAAGCUGGUGAGAUCCUUCGAUGCAUCAAGAGCAGCCAGACUACGUGACAAAUUUGAGGAAAAAUGGGCCUGACCGCUUCCACUUAGCGGUCUGUCGGCUUUCCCAUGACGGAAUACCGUCUAUGGGCAUGAAAUUCGUAGACGUAAACGUGUGUGGGACAUUCGUUGCGUCGCGACGUCCCGAGGGGAAGCGGACCCUCCAGGACGGAGACAGUCCGGUCGGUCCGGACGUCGCCAAAGCGAGCAGGUGCUGCUUGAUCCCUGCACUUCCCCUUUUGCAGAUGAAUUUCCGUGUUCAAAAUCGACCCGGAUGAAGAAGACGACCCUCGUGGUGUGUACCUUGUGGGCAAAUGACCGCUUCCACGUCACCCGCAGUAACGAUCGUCGGUUCGUCGAUGUCUUGUUGGACUUGUUGGUUCCGAGUGAUCGGUGAACAGGCGAGUCAGGGAUGAUAAAUCGGGAAGUGACUUUGUUUACCGCGAUGACGUGUUUCAUGUGACUUAAAUCUCGUGCAGCAGUGCACGGAGUGUUCAUUGAUUGGAUCGAAUAAGAUUUAUUGCGGUCACUUCAGUUUUCUAUUAUUUUUUAACUAAAGCUUGGAUAGUGUUAUUUUUGUGAUAUUGAUAAACACUUUCUUCGUUCGAUUGUAAUACCGCCAAUGAGUUUAUUCAAUUAUUACUUUACAUCGAGGAUUGAUAAUAUGUAAUUCGAUUGCCUGAUUAGCUGGUGAAUUAUGAUGGUAUAGUUUUUAAUUGCAGAAUUAUGUAGACGAUUUGUUACUGACAACUUGUCGCUGUGCAUUUUCGUUCGAUGAAUUUUGAAUAACGCCGGCAUAAAACAACUUUAGACGCUUGCUCUGGCGUCAGUUUGUUAGAUGUAACGAUUGUGCAUGAUCUUGAUUGCUUUUUUGCGUUCUUGAGAAUCGGAUUUGUGAAAAUUGGGCCGUACGAACUGAUUACGAGACAAAAAGUUUUUGCAUCCAAAAAUCGCAAACAAGUGAAGAUGACUCGUUCAGAUUUUUUUGGGGAUUUUGGUUGAUUUAGGUUAAUGCUAAGAUUUAUUCUUGGAUACACUAUAUCGACGUAAUUUUGCGGGAUGGAUUGAAACGCGUACACUCUCGAUUAGCUGCAAACAAUAGAUCGGAAGGGACAACCGAGAAACAUGAAUAUUGUACUUGAGAGCUUAAAGAGAUAAAAACGAAAGAGUCGCAAAUUCAUUGUUAAGAAGUUUCAAUUUCAGUUCGUUCAAUAAGUUUUAUUUCUAGUACAAGUGUUCAAGAGUAACUGCAUAGCACAAAAAGCCAGAUGGUGUUACAGUGAUAGACGUAAUGCAGAAGGAGAAUAAACAUUAAACAUCACAUGACGCAUCCAAUAAUUGUAUGAAAUAGAAGGAGUGCGAUAUUCAUUAACCUAACACAAUAUUAAACUCUGUGAUGUGAGUUUUUGAGUAUGGAUUAAGUUCCAGCCUGCAUACAAAAGCAAUGCACCUCGACUGUAUAACAUACGUGUGACAUUGUCGAAUACGAUUGUAUCUUGGGCUAAGAUGAUUGAAUAAAUGAAUUUUUCUGUA